rnacentral:tRNA from 1 species
UUCAGUGAAUAGUUUAAUUAAAAAUUUUAAUUUUGGAGAUUAAAGAUGAGCGAGUAGCUUUCCACUGAAG